CCUACGGGAGACAGCAGUGGGGAAUAUUGCACAAUGGGGGAAACCCUGAUGCAGCGACGCCGCGUGAGAGAUGAAGUAUUUCGGGAUGUAAAGCUCUAUCAGCAGGGAAGAAAAUGACGGUACCUGACUAAGAAGCCCCGGCUAACUAGGUGCCAGUAGCCGCGGUAAUACGUAGGGGGCAAGCGUUAUCCGGAUUUACUGGGGUGAAAGGGAGCGUAGACGGCGGUGCAAGCCAGAUGUGAAAGCCUGGGCGUCAACCCCGGGACUGCAUUUGGAACUGUGCUGCUAGGGGGUCGGAGAGGCAGGCGGAAUGCCUAGUGUAGCGGUGAAAUGCGUAGAUAUUAGGAGGAACACCAGUGGCGAAGGCGGCCUGCUGGACGAUGACUGACGUUGAGGCUCGAAAGCGUGGGGAGCAAACAGGAUUAGAUACCCUGGUAGUC
rnacentral:rRNA from 1 species